rnacentral:rRNA from 1 species
AACGUAGGACGCAAGCGUUAUCCGGAGUUACUGGGCGUAAAGCGCGGGCAGGCGGCUCGAAACGUCUGAUGUGAAAUCUCCUCGCUCAACGGGGAGAGGCCAUUGGAAACGGUCGAGCUGGAGGGCAGUAGAGGUAGGCGGAAUUCCGGGUGGAGUGGUGAAAUGCGUAGAGAUCCGGAGGAACACCAGAGGCGAAGGCGGCCUACUGGGCUGCACCUGACGCUGAGCCGCGAAAGCUAGGGGAGCAAACGGG